AGUUCUCCUUUACUUUUUACUAGACAAUUUCACCUUAAUCCAAUCCCCUCUUGCAGUUAAUAAUUCUUUUAACUUUCCUUAUUCAAAUUUCCCUGUGGUAUUUCUCUUUAUUUGAUUCUGAUUUAUAUAGGUGGCUACUAGUAUUUAUUCUCUGAUGAUCCUGAGAAAGAAAAAAAGCAAGAGGAAAAGGUUGGAGCUAGACACCUUUGCAUUUGGAUUCCAGGUAUGUCACUUACUUCUUUGUGAUCUUAGGCAAGGCAUUUAACCUUUUUGAACUUGUGUGUUCAAACUUGUAUGUUAUCAUACAAACUUUCAAACUUGUAUGUUAUCAUACAAAAUAGAAAACAAUGCCUACCACACAGUAUUUUCUUAAAUAUUAGAGAUCAUAUGCAUAGAUAUGAGUACAUCACAGAGAUUAAUAUUUAGUAAUGACUCAGUGACUGAUAACCAAUAGCAGCAGCAGCAGCAAGUGAUCAAGAGCUAAAAAUGAACAUGAGGAUGAUUGUGAUAGUUAACUGUGAUGUCAAUUUACAUGGAUUAAAAAGGCCUAGCAGAUUAGUGGAACACAGCUCUGGGUGUGUCUGUGGAUGAUUGGCAUGUUGGCACUAACUGAGAAGGGAACGUGUACCUCAGAUGUGUAUGGCACUAACCAAUAGGCAUGUAGCCUGGAUGGGGUAAAAAGGGAAAGGAGAGGGAAGUCUUUCCUUUUUGCUUCUUUCGAGGAGCUCCAGUGUUUGUCCUCACCCUUGGAUGUUCAUCUCCAGUUCUUUCAGCCUUCCAACAAACCCUUCAGCCUUCCAACAUGGACUCACACCAGACUCUGAAGUGAGCUCCAGGCCUUUGACUUUCCACUGGAUCCUCCAACUCUUCAGCACACAGGCAGCAAUUUUGCAUUCUCCUACUCUGAUUCCACUGCAUUUUUAUUACAUCCCUAUGCAUUUAAUGGAAGAAAGAUCAUGGACUUUUCCACAAUCAUUUGAAGUUUGUGUCACUGUAUUAUGUAUUAAUUACAUGGGGAUAUAUUUCACAUCAGAGCCUGGGGUAUAAAAUAUGGGUGAGUUUUCCCCAGAGUCAAUACCUGUCUAUUUUGUGCAUGGUGCCAUCUUUCUGUUU
rnacentral:lncRNA from 1 species